rnacentral:rRNA from 1 species
UGGGGAAUUUUGGACAAUGGGCGAAGGCCUGAUCCAGCAAUGCCGCGUGUGUGAAGAAGGCCUUCGGGUUGUAAAGCACUUUUGUCCGGAAAGAAAUGGCUCUGGUUAAUACCUGGGGUCGAUGACGGUACCGGAAGAAUAAGGACCGGCUAACUACGUGCCAGCAGCCGCGGUAAUACGUAGGGUCCAAGCGUUAAUCGGAAUUACUGGGCGUAAAGCGUGCGCAGGCGGUUGUGCAAGACCGAUGUGAAAUCCCCGAGCUUAACUUGGGAAUUGCAUUGGUGACUGCACGGCUAGAGUGUGUCAGAGGGGGGUAGAAUUCCACGUGUAGCAGUGAAAUGCGUAGAGAUGUGGAGGGAAUACCGAUGGGCGAAGGCAGCCCCCCGGGAAUAACACUGACGCUCCAUGCACGAAAGCGUGGGGAGCAAACAGGAUUAGAUACCCUGGUAGUCCACGCCCUAAACGAUGUCAACUAGUUGUUGGGGAUUCAUUUCCUUA